rnacentral:rRNA from 2 species
AAUUAAUAUGAUUGUUUUAAUUGGAUAUUUAUUUAAAAUUUAAAUUAAAUAAAUUUGUGUUAUUGUAGAAUAAAUUGAUAAAAUUUUAUUUACUAUAGUGAAUUAAGUACUGUAAAGGAAAUAUUUUGAAUAAUAUAAUUAAAUAAAGGUAAUUUAAUUAAUUGUAUCUUGUGUAUUAGAAUAUAUUAAAAUGAAUUAAAUAUUAUUUUUUCUCGAAUUUUAAUGAUUUAAUUGAGUAUUUUAGUUAUUGUAUUAAAAAUAUUAAGGAUACUUAAUUGGUAAUGAUAUGUUAAUCGUUUUUUAGGAUAUCUAGUUUUUUAAUAAAUGAAUUUAAAUCAGAAAAUUUAAGUUAUUUAAUAUUUUAUUAUAUUAGAUAUUUUAUAUUUUUAAUUUUAAAAGGGAUAAACUUUUUAAAAUAUAAUUAUAAUAAGUUUAUUAUGGAGGAUUUUGUUAAUUUAAAAUUUGUUAUUAAGUGAAGUAUGUUAAAAUUUAAUUCUAUUUUUUGAUAGAUUUUUAAUUAUUAUUUAAUUUGUAUAUUAAAAUGUUAAAUUGAAUAUUGAGAAUUUUGGGGAUUAUGAUUUAAUUAGUAAAAAAUGAUUGUAUUAAUAUUAAUUUUUUUUUGAAUGUUAAUAUGAAGAAUUAGGCAAAAUAUUUUGCUCACCUGUUUAUUAAAAACAUGGUUUCUUGUAAUUAUUUAGGAGAUCUAACCUGCCCACUGAAAAAUAUAAUUGAAGGGCCGCAGUAAUUUGACUGUGCAAAGGUAGCAUAAUCAUUAGUCUUUUAAUUAAAGGCUGGUAUGAAUGGUUGGAUGAAGUGGAUGCUGUUUUAUAAUAAUUAUUAGAAUUUAGAUUUUAAGUAAAAAGACUUAAAUGUUAUUAAGGGACGAGAAGACCCUAUAGAGUUUAAUAAAUAUAUUGUUUAAUUAAGUUAAUAAAUAAUUUUUGGUUAUUAUGAAAUUUAUUUAAUUGGGGUGAUUAGAAAUUAAGUUUAACAUUUUUUUAAUUUAAAUAUUUUUGUGAAUUUAAAUGAUCCAUAAUUAGUGAUUAAAAGAUUAAAUUACCUUAGGGAUAACAGCAUAAUUUCUUUUGAGAGUUCAUAUUAAAAAAGAAGAUUAUGACCUCGAUGUUGGAUUAAGAUUAGUUUUGGGUGUAGAUGUUCAAUAUUACUAGGUCUGUUCGACCUUUAAAAUCUUACAUGAUCUGAGUUUAAACCGGUGUAAGCCAGGUUGGUUUUUAUCUUUAUUUUUUUAUAAUAUUUUAGUACGAGAGGACCGAAUAUUUAAAAUAAUUUUUGUUGAUUGAAUGUUACUAAUAA